UACCAGCACCCCGAGUGGUCGGGACGAUUAUUGGGCGUAAAGCAUCCGUAGCCGGUCCUGCAAGUCUUCCGUUAAAUCCAGCUGCUCAACAGAUGGGCUGCGGGGGAUACUACAGGGCUAGGAGGCGGGAGAGGCAAGCGGUACUUUAUGGGUAGGGGUAAAAUCCGUUGAUCCAUAGAAGACCACCAGUGGCGAAGGCGGCUUGCCAGAACGCGCUCGACGGUGAGGGAUGAAAGCUGGGGGAGCAAACCGG
rnacentral:rRNA from 1 species